rnacentral:rRNA from 1 species
AGUGAACGCUGGCGGUAGGCCUAACACAUGCAAGUCAAACGGCAGCACAGUAAGAGCUUGCUCUUACGGGUGGCGAGUGGCGGACGGGUGAGGAAUACAUCGGAAUCUACUUUUUCGUGGGGGAUAACGUAGGGAAACUUACGCUAAUACCGCAUACGACCUACGGGUGAAAGCAGGGGAUCUUCGGACCUUGCGCGAUUGAAUGAGCCGAUGUCGGAUUAGCUAGUUGGCGGGGUAAAGGCCCACCAAGGCGACGAUCCGUAGCUGGUCUGAGAGGAUGAUCAGCCACACUGGAACUGAGACACGGUCCAGACUCCUACGGGAGGCAGCAGUGGGGAAUAUUGGACAAUGGGCGCAAGCCUGAUCCAGCAAUACCGCGUGGGUGAAGAAGGCCUUCGGGUUGUAAAGCCCUUUUGUUGGGAAAGAAAAGCAGCAGGUUAAUCCCCCGCUGUUCUGACGGUACCCAAAGAAUAAGCACCGGCUAACUUCGUG